rnacentral:rRNA from 1 species
UACGUAGGGACCGAGCGUUGUCCGGAAUCAUUGGGCGUAAAGAGCGUGUAGGCGGCCCCUUAAGUCCUGCGUGAAAUCCUGCGGCUCAACCGCAGACGGUCGUGGGAAACUGGAGGGCUAGAGUGCGGGAGAGGAGAGUGGAAUUCCCGGUGUAGCGGUGAAAUGCGUAGAUAUUGGGAGGAACACCAGUGGCGAAGGCGGCUCACUGGACUGGUACUGACGCUGAUGCGCGAAAGCGUGGGGAGCAAACAGG